rnacentral:lncRNA from 1 species
GACUACACGGUCUUGUUACAAGACUACACGGUCUUGUUACAAGACUACACGGUCUGUUACAGACUACGCUUUUACAAGACUACACGGUCUUGUUACAAACUACACGGUCAUUGUUACAAGACUACACGGUCUUGUUAAAAGACAUACACGGUCUUGUUACAAGACUACACGGUCUUGUUAAAGACUACACGGUCUGUUACAAGACUACACGACGUCUUGUUACAGGACUACACGAUCUUGUUACAGGACUACACGGUCUUGUUCAGGACUACACGGUCUUUGUUACAGGACUCACGGUCUUGUUACAGGACUAACACGGUCUUGUUACAGGACUACAUGGUCUGUUACAGGACAACACGGUCUUGUUACAGGACUACAUCUAGAAAGAGUAAGUGCUAGUAAUCUACAACAUUUGCUUCAUUCCUUUGUAAUAUUUCUUUAUUUACUCUUUCUGAAACGUUUUGAAAAAAAAUGAAAAAUUAUCUCUCUGUGUCAAAUAUAUGUUUCGUGUGUGGAUAGGUUGUGUCAGUGAAGUGACGAUAUUCAAAUUAAUUUUUCAAUUUUACAGGUAGGCUACAUUAUAAAUGCACACAAACACAUGUAAAAUAUACAACAGCACUUGGUAUGUACACAUGGCAAUGACUUGACCAUUCAACAUUAACAGAAAUAAAUGCUGUUGGGGUACGAAAACAGCAGAGGGAGACAAAUAGUCAUUAAUUUUCUCCUACAGGAGAGAUUUUGGAGAGUGUAUUGGGGAUGAAGAUGAGGAGCGUAUGUGAGAUGAUACCAGGGUCAGAGAAUGAGGAUGUUAUGGAUGAGGAGCGUAUGUGGGAUGGUACAGUGUCAGAGAAUGAGGAUGUUAUGGAUGAGGAGCGUAUAUGGGAUGGUACCGGUGUCAGAGAAUGAAGAUGUUAUGGAUGAGAAGCGUAUGUGGGAUGGUACCGGUGUCAGAGAAUGAGGAUGUAAUGGAUGAGGAUGUUAUGGAUGAGGAGGCUAUUGGGAUGGUACGCGUGUCAGAGAUGAGGAUGUUAGGUGAGGAGCGUAUGUGGGAUGGUACCGGUGUCAGAGAAGGAGGAUGUAUGGAUGAGGAGCGUAUGUGGGAUGGUACCGGUGUCAGAGAAUGAAGAUGUUAUGGAUGAGAAGCGUAUGUGGGAUGGUACCGGUGUCAGAGAAUGAGGAGUUAUGGAUGAGGAGCGUAUGUGGGAUGGUACCGGUGUCAGAGAAUGAGGAUGUUAUGUGAGGAGCGUAUGUGGAUGGUACCGGUGUCAGAGAAUGAGAUGUUAUGGAUGAGAAGCGUAUGUGGGUGGUACCGUUGUCAGAGAAUGAGGAUGUUAUGGAUGAGGAGCGUAUGUGGGAUGGUACCGGUGUCAGAGAAUGAAGAUGUUAUGGAUGAGAGCGUAUGUGGGAUGGUACCGGUGUCAGAGAAUGAGGAUGUUAUGGAUGAGGAGCGUAUGUGG